AUGAACGCUAGCUACAGGCUUAACACAUGCAAGUCGAGGGGCAGCAUGAACUUAGCUUGCUAAGUUUGAUGGCGACCGGCGCACGGGUGAGUAACACGUAUCCAACCUGCCGAUGACUCGGGGAUAGCCUUUCGAAAGAAAGAUUAAUACCCGAUGGCAUAGUUCUUCCGCAUUAAAGAAUUUCGGUCAUCGAUGGGGAUGCGUUCCAUUAGGUUGUUGGCGGGGUAACGGCCCACCAAGCCUUCGAUGGAUAGGGGUUCUGAGAGGAAGGUCCCCCACAUUGGAACUGAGACACGGUCCAAACUCCUACGGGAGGCAGCAGUGAGGAAUAUUGGUCAAUGGACGAGAGUCUGAACCAGCCAAGUAGCGUGAAGGAUGACUGCCCUAUGGGUUGUAAACUUCUUUUAUACGGGAAUAAAGUGAGGCACGUGUGCCUUUUUGUAUGUACCGUAUGAAUAAGGAUCGGCUAACUCCGUGCCAGCAGCCGCGGUAAUACGGAGGAUCCGAGCGUUAUCCGGAUUUAUUGGGUUUAAAGGGAGCGUAGGCGGACGCUUAAGUCAGUUGUGAAAGUUUGCGGCUCAACCGUAAAAUUGCAGUUGAUACUGGGUGUCUUGAGUACAGUAGAGGCAGGCGGAAUUCGUGGUGUAGCGGUGAAAUGCUUAGAUAUCACGAAGAACUCCGAUUGCGAAGGCAGCCUGCUGGACUGUAACUGACGCUGAUGCUCGAAAGUGUGGGUAUCAAACAGGAUUAGAUACCCUGGUAGUCCACACAGUAAACGAUGAAUACUCGCUGUUUGCGAUAUACAGUAAGCGGCCAAGCGAAAGCGUUAAGUAUUCCACCUGGGGAGUACGCCGGCAACGGUGAAACUCAAAGGAAUUGACGGGGGCCCGCACAAGCGGAGGAACAUGUGGUUUAAUUCGAUGAUACGCGAGGAACCUUACCCGGGCUUGAAUUGCAACUGAAUGAUGUGGAGACAUGUCAGCCGCAAGGCAGUUGUGAAGGUGCUGCAUGGUUGUCGUCAGCUCGUGCCGUGAGGUGUCGGCUUAAGUGCCAUAACGAGCGCAACCCUUAUCGAUAGUUACCAUCAGGUUAUGCUGGGGACUCUGUCGAGACUGCCGUCGUAAGAUGUGAGGAAGGUGGGGAUGACGUCAAAUCAGCACGGCCCUUACGUCCGGGGCUACACACGUGUUACAAUGGGGGGUACAGAAGGCAGCUACACGGCGACGUGAUGCUAAUCCCUAAAGCCUCUCUCAGUUCGGAUUGGAGUCUGCAACCCGACUCCAUGAAGCUGGAUUCGCUAGUAAUCGCGCAUCAGCCACGGCGCGGUGAAUACGUUCCCGGGCCUUGUACACACCGCCCGUCAAGCCAUGAAAGCCGGGGGUACCUGAAGUGCGUAACCGCAAGGAGCGCCCUAGGGUAAAACUGGUGAUUGGGGCU
rnacentral:rRNA from 1 species